UUUUGUAAUAUGCCCACGAGAAGUGAGGAGAAGUGGAAGCAGGAUGAUGCUUCCUAAUCCCACACAGACAGUGGUUGCCUUAUAUCCUGAAACAAGAGAAUUUAGAUCCCCUUGCAGAUUUAAUUUAGUAUAAGUGCAAACAUUCAUAUUGUACAUAUUAAGGCCCAGUUCCUGACAACUCGUAUGCAUAACCAUAUUCAUGUGGGUAGACCCAUUAACCUUAACUGGCAGCAAUUACAAAUAAAAAUUAACAUAAUACAUGGAAAAAAAAAA